rnacentral:rRNA from 1 species
UACGUAGGGUGCAAGCGUUAAUCGGAAUUACUGGGCGUAAAGCGUGCGCAGGCGGUUAUGCAAGACAGAUGUGAAAUCCCCGGGCUUAACCUGGGAACCGCAUUUGUGACUGCAUAGCUGGAGUACGGCAGAGGGGAUGGAAUUCCGCGUGUAGCAGUGAAAUGCGUAGAUAUGCGGAGGAACACCGAUGGCGAAGGCAGUCCCCUGGGCCUGUACUGACGCUCAUGCACGAAAGCGUGGGAGCAAACAGG